rnacentral:rRNA from 1 species
UACGUAGGGUGCAAGCGUUGUCCGGAAUUAUUGGGCGUAAAGGGCUCGUAGGCGGUCCGUCACGUCGGGAGUGAAAACUUGGGGCUUAACCCCAAGCCUGCUUCCGAUACGGGCGGACUAGAGGUAGGCAGGGGAGAACGGAAUUCCUGGUGUAGCGGUGAAAUGCGCAGAGAUCAGGAAGAACACCGGUGGCGAAAGCGCUCUGCUGGACCUUAACUGACACUGAGGGACGAAAGCUAGGGGAGCGAAUGGG